rnacentral:rRNA from 1 species
AACGCGAAGAACCUUACCAGGGCUUGACAUAUAGGGAAAAGCCACAGAGAUGUGGUGUGCUUCGGCGUCCUAUACAGGUGGUGCAUGGUUGUCGUCAGCUCGUGCCGUGAGGUGUUGGGUUAAGUCCCGCAACGAGCGCAACCCCUAUCCUAUGUUGCCAGCGAGUCAUGUCGGGGACUCAUAGGAGACUGCCGGUGUCAAACCGGAGGAAGGUGGGGACGACGUCAAAUCAUCAUGCCCCUUACGUCCAGGGCUGCACACAUGCUACAAUGGCCGGUACAGAGGGCUGCGAUCCCGCGAGGGUGAGCGAAUCUCACAAAGCCGGUCUCAGUUCGGAUUGGAGUCUGCAACUCGACUCCAUGAAGGCGGAGUCGCUAGUAAUCGCAGAUCAGCAACGCUGCGGUGAAUACGUUCCCGGGCCUUGUACACACCG